CAACGUAAUUUAUCGCCAAUUGCUCUAUCCUAUUUUAUACAGAGAGAGAUAUGCAAGAAAAAAUUUAAACCGGGUAACCUGAGAAUUCAAGAGGUGUCUUGUAAAAUUGAACAAGAUCACAUUGAAAAAAAAAUCCCAUUACUCCUUAUAUGUUUUAUGAUUAAAAAUAAAAAUUAACAUUGGAUGUUUCUCCACUGGGACUAAAUUCUAACCUCUCUCCAGUCCUCGACCGUCAAUGAAUUCUCGUCUCUAAUUAUUGUGGAAAAAAUAAUUUUUUUAUUCACAAUUAUAAAAGCACAUUUUGGAUAGAGAAAAAAUAUUGGCAGAAGAAUAGAGAGAUGUCAUUAACGAAGAAAACAACUCCGAAUUUGCGAAGCAAGCGAUUUAAGUACUCCGAAUCCAUGGUGAACGCCAUUGAUGCGGUCAAAAAUGGAGGAACCCUCAACAAUGGCGUAUUAGCCUACAACGUUCCAAAAUCGACGUUACACUCCAGAGUGACAGGAAAAAUUAUUGGAAAAGGAAAAAUGGGACCAAAGUCUAUUCUCACUGAAGACGAAGAGGAGGAUUUGAAGCGUUGGAUCUUAGAAAAAGCCCAGGUUGGAUUUCCAAUGCAUGCAGAUGAGGUGAAAGACGCCGUCCAGAAAAUUCUUCUCGAAUCACCAAGAGAAAACAAAGAUAAUUUUUUGUAGCAUUUUUUUUUUUUAAAACAUUGAUGGCUUGGCAUUUUCUCAAGAUUCACAUGUGGGGAUUGAAAGGAAUAAACAUUAUAAUUUUUGCAUAGAGCUCUUUUAUUUAUAAUAGUGCAACAGGCUGACGUCAACAAAAAACAAGUCUUAUUUAUCACACACAUAAGACAAAUUCAAUCAUCGUCACCCCAUUUAUUUCCAACACACAAAACACAUUUUCUAUUGGUUCGUUUCUCAUCCAAGGGGCUACGAAAUAAAAAUUAUUUAUCAUUACGAGAACAUUUUCUCACCAAUUCUGUACAAUUUCAAUGUUUACAUAAUAAAAAUAGUAAAACGAUGAUGCAGAAUAGAAUAUAAUAUCGUCGCUUCACAAAAUUAAUGGAGAAGACGUUAAUUCGAGAUUGCUAGAAAAAAACUUUGGUCAUUGUAUUUUUUUCAUUUGAAAUUAUUAAUUAAAAAGAUUAAAAUAAUUUUCGCGACUAUUACAGCAUUAACCGCGAAUGAGGAAUGUGAUAAAAAUGAUUACACCAUUCGAUGUGUCUCAUUUCCUUGAUAUCGUCCAGCGGUUUUCCUAUACCCUGAUAAUUCGACUAAAAUGUAUACAAUAUAUAUUCUCUAUUCCUUCCAUUACUCAUUAUCCUCAGGCUACAUUGAACAAUUCGUCACCUGAUAUUAUGCAAUUAUUGUAAAAUUUCAUACAAUUAAUUAAUCAUUAAAAAAAAAAUGCAUAUACAAUCCUUUCGCAACAUAAACAAAAAACAGUUGAGAUAAAAAUAAUAAAAACCAAAUACCCUAGAUAAUUAUAGACAACGGUCUUUUUCAUCAGGAAAUUAUAGGAUAAAAUGUAACAAUUAACGAAGAUAGAUCUUAUGCACCAGAAUAAUUAAUAAUAAUUCAUGCUUGUGAUGAUAACCAAGAAUAAAAACAUUUCCCAAUUUCAUUGUUUUGGAUUAUUCAAAUAUUCGAGUUUCUUCAUUGAUCCUUCAUAUCGAUCAUGUUUUUUCAUUGCUUCAUUACUCAUGAUUAUUGUAAUAAGAAAAGUAAAACUUAACGAUGAUCUUGCAUACAUAAUAAAUUCGGUUUUUCAUCGUGUCUUGAUUUUAUUGAGACAGUCACAAAGUGAUGCAGUCUUCCUCCAAUUAAUUAUUUUUUUCUAAUCACUCAUUCGGUUGUGUUCAGCAUUAUUUUCAUCGAUUUAGAAAAACCCCUGUGAUCCAAUUUCUAAGUACGUCAAAUCAUUUUUUUUAUUGCUUCGAUAAAAUUCAUUCUUUGAUAAACAUUUCACUUAGCGGCAUCCAACAAUUAUUAUAACACUCAUUCAUAUUUUUUAUCGGCGGAAUAGAACAAUCAUUGAAUCGGUAACAUUGUAUGUACUGUUCAGUUGAAAAUAUGUGGUAAUAACAUGAGAUAAGGAAAUCGAAUAGAAUUUCAACAUCAAACUCGUAGAUUUUUUUUAGAAUUAAUUUUUACACUCACAAACGUGUCUUUAAUAUUCCACACAGAAAUUCCACAUUUUAGGAUAGGUGUAAUUUCAAUUAAAUUUUUAUACUCAAAGCCACAUCUAGAUCAUCCAGAUAGAAAAAAAAAAAA